CCAAUAGCGUAUAUUAAAGUUGUUGCAGUUAAAAAGCUCGUAGUUGAAUUUCGGGAUCAGUAGGUCGGUCAUGCCUCAGGUAUGUACUGGUCUCACUGGUUCCUCCUUCCUGAUGAACCGUAAUGCCAUUAAUUUGGUGUUGCGGGGAAACUGGACUGUUACUUUGAAAAAAUUAGAGUGUUUAAAGCAGGCUAACGCCUGAAUACAUUAGCAUGGAAUACUGAAAUAGGACGUUCGAUCCUAUUUUGUUGGUUUCUAGGAUUGACGUAAUGAUUAAUAGGGAUAGUUGGGGGCAUUAGUAUUCAAUUGUCAGAGGUGAAAUUCUUGGAUUUAUUGAAGACUAACUACUGCGAAAGCAUUUGCCAAGGAUGUUUUCAUUAAUCAAGAACGAAAGUUAGGGGAUCGAAGACGAUCAGAUACCGUCGUAGUCUUAACCAUAAACUAUGCCGACUAGGGAUCGGAUGACGUUAAUUUUUUAAUGACUCAUUCGGCGCCUUACG
rnacentral:rRNA from 1 species